rnacentral:rRNA from 1 species
CCUACGGGCCGCACCAGUGGGGAAUAUUGCACAAUGGGGGAAACCCUGAUGCAGCCAUGCCGCGUGUGUGAAGAAGGCCUUCGGGUUGUAAAGCACUUUCAGCGAGGAGGAAAGGUCAGUAGCUAAUAUCUGCUGGCUGUGACGUUACUCGCAGAAGAAGCACCGGCUAACUCCGUGCCAGCAGCCGCGGUAAUACGGAGGGUGCAAGCGUUAAUCGGAAUUACUGGGCGUAAAGCGUACGCAGGCGGUUGGAUAAGUUAGAUGUGAAAGCCCCGGACUCAACCUGGGAAUUGCAUUUAAAACUGUCCAGCUAGAGUCUUGUAGAGGGGGGUAGAAUUCCAGGUGUAGCGGUGUAAUGCGUAGAGAUCUGGAGGAAUACCGGUGGCGAAGGCGGCCCCCUGGACAAAGACUGACGCUCAGGUGCGAAAGCGUGGGGAGCAAACAGGAUUAGAUACCCGCGUAGUC